rnacentral:rRNA from 1 species
UACGGAGGGGGCUAGCGUUGUUCGGAAUUACUGGGCGUAAAGGGCGCGUAGGCGGCCUGCUAAGUCGAACGUGAAAUCCCCCGGGCUCAACCCGGGAACUGCGUCCGAUACUGGGAGGCUUGAAUCCGGGAGAGGGAUGUGGAAUUCCAGGUGUAGCGGUGAAAUGCGUAGAGAUCGGGAGGAACACCCGUGGCGAAGGCGGCCAUCUGGACCAGUACUGACGCUGAGGCACGAAAGCGUGGGAGCAACAGG